rnacentral:rRNA from 1 species
UACGUAGGGGUCUAGCGUUGUCCGGAAUUAUUGGGCGUAAAGAGCUCGUAGGCGGUUCGGCAAGUCGGAUGUGAAAUCUCCACGCUUAACGUGGAGGGGCCAUUCGAAACUGCCGUGACUCGAGUCCGGUAGGGGAGUGCGGAAUUCCCGGUGUAGCGGUGAAAUGCGCAGAUAUCGGGAGGAACACCAGUGGCGAAGGCGGCUCACUGGACCGGUACUGACGCUGAUGCGCGAAAGCGUGGGGAGCAAACAGG